GAUGAACGCUGGCGGCGUGCCUAAUACAUGCAAGUCGAGCGAACGGACGAGAAGCUUGCGUCUCUGAUGUUAGCGGCGGACGGGUGUGUAACACGUGGAUACUCCACCUAUAAGACUGGGAUAACUUCGGGAAACCGGAGCUAAUACCGGAUAAUAUUCUGCACCGCAUGGUUCAAAAGUGAAAGACGGUCUUGUUGGCAGGUGUGGAUGGAUCCGCGCUGCAUUAGCUAGUUGGUAGGGUAACGGCUUACCAAGGCUAGAACGGGUAGCCGGCCUGAGAGGGUGACCGGCAAAAGUGGGACUGGGAGACGGCCGAGGCUCCUACGGGAGGCAGCAGUGGGGAAUAUUGCACAAUGGGCGGAAGCCUGAUGCAGCAACGCAGCGUGCGGGAGGACGGCAUUCGGGUUGUAAACAGCUUUCGCAUGUGACGAAGCGUGAGUGAGGGUAAUGGGUAAAGAAGCACCGGCUAACUACGUG
rnacentral:rRNA from 1 species